rnacentral:rRNA from 1 species
GACGAACGCUGGCGGCAUGCCUAACACAUGCAAGUCGAACGGAGAUUAUUUCGGUACUCUUAGUGGCGAACGGGUGAGUAACGCGUGGGCAACCUGCCCUCUAGAUGGGGACAACAUCCCGAAAGGGGUGCUAAUACCGAAUGUGACAGCAAUCUCGCAUGAGGAUGCUGUGAAAGAUGGCCUCUAUUUAUAAGCUAUCGCUAGAGGAUGGGCCUGCGUCUGAUUAGCUAGUUGGUGGGGUAACGGCCUACCAAGGCGAUGAUCAGUAGCCGGUCUGAGAGGAUGAACGGCCACAUUGGGACUGAGACACGGCCCAGACUCCUACGGGAGGCAGCAGUGGGGAAUCUUCCGCAAUGGGCGAAAGCCUGACGGAGCAAUGCCGCGUGAGUGAUGAAGGAAUUCGUUCCGUAAAGCUCUUUUGUUUAUGACGAAUGUGCAGAUUGUGAACAAUGAUCUGUAAUGACGGUAGUAAACGAAUAAGCCACGGCUAACUACGUG